rnacentral:rRNA from 1 species
UACGUAGGGGGCGAGCGUUGUCCGGAAUUAUUGGGCGUAAAGAGCUCGUAGGCGGUUUGUCGCGUCUAUCGUGAAAACUGGAGGCUUAACUUUCAGCGUGCGGGCGAUACGGGCAGACUUGAGUACUGCAGGGGAGACUGGAAUUCCUGGUGUAGCGGUGGAAUGCGCAGAUAUCAGGAGGAACACCGGUGGCGAAGGCGGGUCUCUGGGCAGUAACUGACGCUGAGGAGCGAAAGCGUGGGGAGCGAACAGG